rnacentral:tmRNA from 1 species
GGGGUAGACUUGGCUUCGACAGGGUAUGUCUAAGUAUGACUGCAAGUGGUUGAAUACCUAAAUUCACAAUUUAAAAUAAAAUGACGAAACUUCAUAUAGUUUCGCUCCUGCUUUCGUAGCAGCCUAAUAUAAGGUAUAGGAGCACUCUUACUUAUUUUCAUCUAUAGGAUAAGAUAAGGGUUAAUAUAUAUAGAUUAUAUUAUUAUAUUUCCUAAGUUAUAAUAAUGAAUCUCUAUUAGGAUAGUUAAGACUUUUGGUACGUUAUAGCCAAAUCUUAAUGAAACAUAAAUCUAACUAAACUUGUAGACGUUAUAUUAUAGAGUAUCUUGGACAGGGGUUCAAUUCCCCUCUACUCCACCA